rnacentral:rRNA from 1 species
AAACGUCGUGAGACAGUUUGGUCCCUAUCUACCGCGGGCGUAGGAUAAUUGAGGGGGAUUGCUCCUAGUACGAGAGGACCGGAGUGAACGAACCGCUGGUUUACGGGUUGUCAUGCCCAUGGCACGGCCCGGCAGCCAAGUUCGGAACUGAUAACCGCUGAAAGCAUCUAAGCGGGAAGCAGGCCCCAAGAUGAGUUAUCCGAGUUUAUUCAUAAGGGCCGUUGAAGACGACGACGUUGAUAGGCUGGAUGUGGAAGUCAUGUGAGUGAUGAAGCUAGCCAGUACUAAUGACCCGAAAGCUUAACCAU